UACGGAGGGUGCAAGCGUUAUCCGGAUUCACUGGGUUUAAAGGGUGCGUAGGUGGGCAGGUAAGUCAGUGGUGAAAUCUCCGGGCUUAACCCGGAAACUGCCGUUGAUACUAUCUGUCUUGAAUAUUGUGGAGGUAAGCGGAAUAUGUCAUGUAGCGGUGAAAUGCUUAGAUAUGACAUAGAACACCAAUUGCGAAGGCAGCUUACUACACAACGAUUGACGCUGAGGCACGAAAGCGUGGGGAUCAAACAGG
rnacentral:rRNA from 1 species